AAUUAUCUUGGGGUGUGUGUGUGUAUAUGCAGUUGGGAGGGGAAGGUGGGGAGAGGAUUACGGGGUCACUGAGCAUCUGUCAGCCGCAUCUGCCACUGGGUCUGACUCUGGCUUCAGUCUGCUUUGCUUCACUCACUCCUUGCUGCUGGCAUCUCACAUACCGAUGUCAUUAGGCACUGUCUGCCCCGGUCCUCCUACAAUCCAGCCAGUACAGUUCCCGUCACAGCAAGUGCUUCCUCUCUCGGAGCAGACAAACUAACUGAAGCCACAGCCGGAAGCAGGCUGACCACAAGUGCUAAGGUUCUGGUUAGUUCUUUUCUAGGUUCAAAAGAAGAGGCUGUUCUAAGAAAGACUACCGAGUAAUCAAUCACCUCCUCAGAGAAAGUCUGCUCAGGUAACUCUACUCCCACCAGCCCCUGCACUUGGUUCCUUGCAUUGCCUCUGGCUGGAAGCUGUUGUCCCCAACUUCAGAAAGUGUCUGCAGAUUUCACAGGCUGUCUCUUGAGUCAAGGGAGAAGAGGUCCUGUCACCUUGUCUGUAGGCAGUUCCAGCAGGAAUUAGGAAAGGUGAAGUAUCUGAUCUAGACAGGCUGUUGUGUUUUUACAUGGCUGAGCAGCCACCAAUGCAGGGAAUGUGCCCUUGGGACAUGGGACUAGGCAGGGAGGGCCAUGGCUCUGCACACAGACACCUCUUUCAUUCAUGACUCGUCAAAUGUCAUUCUUUCCAAGUCAGCCUGGGUUUCCAAGAACCCUUCUCAAUACAGUGCCCCAGAUAAAUUCUAUGACCCAGUGUGGGGUGAGAUGAAAACCCAUUUGCCAUCCCUGAUGCUGCUGUCUGCAAGGAGCUGCUCUCAGGGCAGCUGGGCUCCUCCCUGCCCGAGUGGCAUCUGAGGCCUUUUCCAUUGGUUCUCUUGGGUUGCCUUUUGGCAGCUGUCAUUCCACAAGUCUCCAGGAGUCUCUGGGAUCUUCAACCAUGGGCUAAAGGAGAGCUGCAGAAUAAUCCAACAUCCCCAGCCUUCUGCAAUUAGGCAAGAGGUAUUUUUCCUGAGGACCACAUACCCUAAAAGAGCCUGUAUCAAAGACAUAAGGUAAGCAAGAGGGCAGUGAGCCCUCCAGCCUGCUUUUCCUUCCAUCUCUGCCACUGCCCAUCAGCUGUCCCUUCUCUGUCCUCCACGCUGGAGUAGCUACAGCCUCCUGGGGUUGGCUCAUUCAAGAGAUCACCUGAUUUUCCCUCCCAGCAGCAGUGGGUAGGAUGCCCCCGCUCAGGGGGGAGGCUGGUGGGGGCCUCAUCCCAACUGUGGCUGCCUCCACAGGGUGUGACUAAGCGGGGCCCACAGGUGGUCUUGUAGCCUCUGCACCGCAGCUCUGAGGUCCCAUGGGGCCCCAGCCCCCACCCCCGCCAAAUGACUCAGCUGAGCACCCCAGCCACUACCCUGAUGGGGCUAAUGCUCCCUUAGGAGUCCGCAGCAGGGAUUCAUGUGGUUUCAAGACUAAACAUAACAGCAGAUAGUGCAGGCGAGAAGGCACCACCGUUUAGCGGUAGAUCUGAUGCUUCUCUGAGCCACCACUUAGCGCACGGAACAUCUAGUUCUGCAACAACUUUAACAUUCAGAGAAGAAUCCUUGAUGCUGUAGAUUUUUAGGUUUUCUGACAAGAUGUCUCAUAUAAUCAAAGAAUGAUGUGGAUGGAGAAAGCACACCAAACACCCAGGUUCUCAGAGUGUUGCCACGCAGCAGGCUCUGACCGGGUUGGGUGGGUGGCAGGCUACAGGUCGCUCUGGCUCUUAAUCCUUAUCAAGUGACUGCUCACAAGACGCCUUUAAGUCUCCACGAUUGAGCCAGAAACCCAAAAGUGUGCCAGAGUUUUCUGUGACCGGAAAGUAAGGUGAUUAAGAGAAAACUUCAAAACUGGCCCCUGGAAGAUUUAAAGAUAGGGCCCACUCAAACACUUCAGAGACAAGAGAACAAAGUGAGGGGUGAGAAGGGACAUAAGUCAAGGGUGAACAGUACAGGCCUCCUUUAGACAUUAAGACAUCGAAUGCAAAUGAAGGUCAUUAUCUGUGCAUGUGGACAGGUCUGUGUCAGUAUAAAUGCUGAUCGAGUAGGGUUUAAUUUGCCAGUGUCAACAACUGGAGGAAAAGAAAGGAAUUGAGGACUUUGCAGUUAAUGUGUCCUGACCCUGGAAACCUCACCUGUGGAAAUCCACACUGGCACCCAUCAGAAUCCCUAAUCUGCUUAAAAAUAGGAGUCUGCUCCCAGAAUCACCAGCACCCUCCCAGUUUCCUACCAACAACAUGAUUAUGGAGUGCGAUUUCUACAGUCAGCCAAGCCUGGUUUGAAUUCUGGCUCAGCUCCUUCUGAACUGUUCCUAGGAAGUCACUUAACCCCCAGCCUGGCUUUUAUCUGUAAAAGGGAUAAGCCAUCAUCAGCAUUCUGCAACUUGUGUCUUUUUCUCCCCAGUCUGUGCUGAUUUUUUUUUCUCCUUUCUUUCUGCUAAUCUGUGACCCUAGUGUCUUCAUCCUGUCUUUCAAAACCUUUUUCAAAAGUUACCUCUGCCGUGAACCUCCAUCCAUCUCUCCCCACCCCAGAAGUCCCUUCCUCCGGGUUCCCCAUGGAGCGUAACUUUAACAACCAAAUACAAUACUAGAGGUGAGAGGAUUUUACAAACCGAAGAGGACCAACUGUAUGUAAAGGAUUAGGAAUAUUUCUCCUCAUCAUUCGCACAACCCCUCUGAGAGUAAUCUUAAGUAAGCAUCUGUUUUGUCUCCUCUGUGAGGCUCUUACUACUUAAAGGGUGAUUCCCGGACCAGCAGCUUCGGCAUCUCCUGGAAGGCUGUUGGAAAUGCAGAACAUCUCAAGUCCUGGAAGUGACUGCUGAGUCAAAAUGUGAAUUUUCACAUGCUCCACAGAUGAUCCAUAUGUACAAUAAAAUCCGAGAAGCAUGGAAUUCAACUCUAAGGACCUCAAGGGUACAGACGGCACAGAAUCUCCAGAAAGCCCUCCAGAACCUAGGAGAGGCCUCUGUGCCUCUGUAAUCGGGGUAUUCAGCAAAUACAAGCACGCAAUCGCUGCCCUGCUGGCAAUAAAACUGAAAGCCUGGCUGCCUCUAGGCCUGUCAGUGAUGAUACUUAUCUGAACAGACCUGACUUCCAGUAUCUUUACAUAAAAAGCUUGAAAAUUACAUCUACAUAAAAAGCAGGCUCCUUUAGGGUAAGUCAUUAUCAGGCCGAGCACUCAAGUCCUUGGUAACUGGAAGGAGAGUUGGCCCCUUCUCCUCAGAGGCAGCCAGCGUGAAUCACAAAGACUCCCUCGAUUUCACAGUUCAUGCUCCUCACUCCACUAUCCACCCCUGAACAUUUUAAUGAUGUUCGGAAAGCACAGGUCUGAAAGAACAGCUGGCCCGGGACACCCACAGCGCACGUUUGGUGUCUCAGCAAACUCUGCCCAAGAAGUGUUCUCUAACAGCCUGCAGCAGCUUCCCCGCUUCCUGGGACAUAGUAUCCACACUUCCCAUCAGCGAAAAGAUUCAUUUGGAACUCAAAUUCCUCCAUCAUAUGAUCACUUCUUAAUGAUUAGUAGAGUGUCUCCCAGAAAGGCGAGGCUGAGGGCAAACACAAACCAUGCUGAACUGCAGUGAGCAGUCACUUUGCCUCUAAGACACCUCUUAGAGAGCAGGUGUUAUUUAAAAAGAAGGGGGGAAAAAAGCACUAUCAAGAAAAGAGGCAGAUGCACAUAGCGACAGGAAAUCGGGCUAUGGAGUUUGAUCCAGAUUAAAAUCCCAGCCCCAGUUCCAUGCUCACGUGCUAAUCUCACCGAGGCUCAACAUUUCCCCCACUAACACAGGCCAAUACCACCUAUCUAGUGGUUCUGAGGAUCACUCCAGAGAACACACGAAGUUCACAGAGCACAGCGCCCCAUCCGUGAGAAGGGUUCAGGCAACAUCGCAUGUUAUUCUUUUGUUCUGCAGCUCCCCGAUGGGCUGCUGGGGCCUUGCUCAGAGCUGAGAAGCCAGGCCAGUAGGCCCCAAGUCCACCUUGCUCCCAGGAGGCCUUUCCACUCACCUUGAUCAUUUCUGCCACAUAACUCUCAGGCCCAGUAUAUUCGGUGGAGUCCUUUACUUUCACCAGGACAAUGAAGCACAGAUAGUGCCACAUGUUGUGUUCUUCCUUGAUGUGCUCUUCAAAGGUGACAGUCUUGUUGUCAAACUUGUCUCUUUCCAAGCCUAAAAAUGAGACAAAAAUCCCCCAGCCCCAACUAAGCAGUCUUGGUAAAGAAAAAAAAUCAAUAACAGAACUGUCAGUAGAAAGGGGGCUGUGGUUUCACUCCUGUCUUUAUAAAGAGUUGGAUUCUGUCGGCCUUAUAAGUACAUUCAUGUUUACAUUAUGGCAGGAAAAUACAGGCUGUGAGUCAGACAGACUUGGGUUUGAAUCCCACCUCUGCCACUUAGCGGUUGCUGCUUCAUCUCCACAUGCCUUAGUGGCCUUGUUAGUGAAUGGGGAGACCGCCGUCUAGGUUCCAGGAGUGUUUAGGGGUAAAAUGAGAAUGUGACACGCUCACACAUUGCAUGCAACCGGGGAACGUGAAGUCCCUUCGCCCAGGUAAAUGCCAAAAUGCAGAUAUGUUAAGGUUUUUUGAGGAGGCGGAAUAAGUAAGGACAACAAGAACUUUAAACAAAUUUUGAAUUCUAGCUGGUAGGUUUAUAAUUUGAAGAGGCCGGGGUGAGCAAUUCUAGUCUCUACGUAUUCUAGGAUUGAUCAAAUAAAUAUAUCAUGGAUAAUGGGAACUGGAUUCCUCACUGCCUGAGAAAAGAACACAAAUAGAGAAAGGGAGAAAGAAUAAACCCUGUAAAGCUGAAAUGGAAUUAAAGGUAUCAGUAUGAAUUCAUCCUUUUUCAUACAUACAUACACAGAUGUGUGCAGAUACAUGUGCUGUGUACACAUACACACAUAUGCAGAUGCAUACGCCUCUCCUCUAGAUUUGUACCCUAAUAAGCCCUGAGAGCAGCAGCACACCAACAGGAAUGAGCACACUCAGUCCCCAGAUCUUGGCUUCUAAACACCUUUCUCCGAUAAAAAGAACCAGGGCUCUUUGGAGAAAUGGCUGAUUCCAGGGAUAGGUCAGGAAAUGUACAAGGUGAGCUUAAGCCUGGAAUAUAUUAUGAUGCCAAAAAAGUAAGAAAGUACAUAGAAAAUGACAAUGACAUGACUAAACCCAGGAGUCAGCUGGAAAGGGCUCUCACUGGCCACAUCUGAAGCAAUUUGAACAUCAAAAUAAAUAGCCCAUUGAAUAAAAUAAAAAUCCACAAGUCCAUGUAGUUACAAAUACAAACAGAGAAAUAUACACACAUACGUGGGGAGAAGAAAAAAUUCUUUCUUACAAUAAAAAGCCAAUAAAGAAAUGUAGAAAUAAUAAUAAAAUAAAAAUCAUCAUUGGGCAACCAUCAUCAUAAUAGAGUUAGUCAAGCAUCAUCAAUGAAUGCUAAAGCUAAGGGGUGAAAGUUUAAGGAAUAGCAGGAUAUUUACAAAGUGUCUCUCCAAAAAAGUAACUUUGUGGAGUUACUGGAAAAACCUGGCAAUUAGCACCUUAACCAAAUGAUCAACGUUAGUAUCACGGCUGGGCGCAGUGGCUCAUGCCUGUAAUCCUAACACUUUGGGAAGCCAAAACGGGCAGACUGCCUGAGCUCAGGAGUUCAAGACCAGCCUCAGCAACAUAGUGAAAUCCCAUCUCUACUCAAAUACAAAAAAUCAGCCAGUUGUGGUGGCAGGCACCUGUAAUCCUAGCUACUCAGGUGGCUGAGGCACGAGAAUUGCUUGAACCCUGGGAGGUGGAGGUUACAGUGAGCCGAGAUACUAGUUACGAGAUGAAUUGGCAUUACAUGCCUCCUGAUAUGAUGCAAUGAGAAGAACACAACAGCAUGUCUUUGAUAUUCCUGUGGAAAAUACAUACCCUCAAUCUUACCAUGAGCAAACAUCAGACAAACUCAAAUCAAGGGACAUUCUACAAAAUAAUUGACCUGCAUUCUUCAACAGUGUCAGCGGAGGCUAACGAGGCAUGGUGACUGAAGCCCCACAGGAGGUGGGAUUUGCAAAGGACAUUAUUGGAAUGAAGGGUGAAAUCUGAAUAAGGUCUGUAGAUGAGAUAACAGUAUUGGAUCUGUUUUAAUUUCCCAAUUUUGAUAAUUAUACUGUAGAUACACAAGAGAAUGUUCUUGUUUUUAGGAAAUGUGUACUAAAAUAUUUAGGGAUGAGAAAGCAUCACUGUCAGCCACUCACAUUAGAAAAUGUGUGUGUGUGUGUGUAUAAAGCAAAUGAGAUAAAAUAUUAAUAUUUGGGGAUUCUGGGUGAGGAAUAUAUAGAAAUUCUUUGGAUAGUCAUGUCUUUUCUGUAACUCUGAAAUUAUGCCAAAGCAAAAAGCUUAAAAAGGUUUUAAGGGGGCAAAAAGCAAAGAAUUUAAGUCUUUAAUUGGAAAAUGAUCAUUUUUUUUAGCAUACAUACCACUAGGAAAUUUAUAUAUUUAGUAGCUAUAUUAUGAAUAAUCCUGAAAUGAUUACUCAGCUCCCCAGAUUCCUCCAUGAUUAGUUUACAUUUACAAAUAUUUUCCUGUAGUUAUACUGAAAAUGAUUUGUUUGGUGUCCAUGCACCUCUUUUACGUAGCCGUUCACUACUUCUCCUCCCGUGCCUAUAGUGUGCCAGGUUCUAGCUAGGAGUGUUACAUACGCGGUCUCUCCUAAUUCUCACAAUAAUGCAGAGAAGGACAUGUUAUUGUACCCAUUUUACAGAUGAAGAAAGAAGGAUUAAAGAUGUUAAAUGACUAAAUGAUGGUUACACAGUUAGUUGAGUGGUAGAAGCUCAGUCAGAACCCAGGUCUGUAAAUACUUCCCAGCAGAAUAAAGGCCAAGGAGAGCCUCACUCACGGCAGAGGGUAGAAGAGUCAAGAGGACGCAGCAGCCGGUGCCCCCUCCCACAUAACUGGGCACGCACCCAGCCCAUCACACCCUCGCCGUAUCCACAUGCCUCUGCCACGCUGGGCCUUCACGCCCUCGCUGGAGCUGGCCAGCGACACUCACCACAGAUAAAGCACGUGGUCUUCAAGAUCUCUUCCUUCUUCUGCUUCUCACUCCUCAGGUCAGCAAAAGUGUCAAUGAUAACCCCAAAAAUCAGGUUAAGAACAAUGAUGAUGACCAUGAAGAAGAACAAGAGGUCAUAAAUAACUCUAGCAGCAAACAGGGGUUCCUGGAAAAGAGAGGUGUCUGGAUCAGUCUGGGUCCCUUGCGACCCUUUGGUCUGCAGAGCCUGGGGCACAGCUCAAGUGAGACCUCAUCUACUUGGGUAGAAAUUAAAUUGGGCAUUCAACUUUUAAACUGAAAACUGCAUCUCUUUUCAUAUCCCCUGUCUCAAUUGUGACUUCUCCAAGUGUGGUGUGACACAGCCGGGAGGGAUAUUCACUGUGCGUUCAGGUGGAUCAGGCCUAACCCCUGAUGGAAACAGUCCCUAAGUCUACUGAACAGAGAGCCAAAGCCAACCCUUUCCACGCAGCUGAUUUUGCGGCAUCACCUCACGUGAUAGAGAGGAAAGAAGCCUGACGAGCUAGUUCCGCAGCUACUCAGCCCUACUCCCAGCUCUUCCUCUGCGUCUUCAGUUUACACUCAACACCACUGCACGGUGCUCCCACCAACCACCCCACCCACCCCCUUUGCCCUUCCUUCCCCUCGGGAUUAAUUUACCUCUUUGGACGGCUUCCUGAGCACAUCUCCUACUCCACCCCCGCUCCGCAGCCCGUGACUCAGUACAGUGACAAUGCACAUCAGCAGCGUCUCACAUGUGUGCUCUUUAUCCUGUUCCGUUUCUUCUGCAAGGACCAGCUCUGCGAACACGGCAAGUAAUAACAGAGAGAAAACGUGAGGAGAAAAGAGAGACCGGGAUUUCGAAAUCCUGUUUCCUGAAUGCCAUCUCACCAGGCACACGAAAGAAUAAAAUUAAGGAAUCAAGA